CAUGUUUGAGUGAGUGGCGAACUGGUGAGUAACACGUGGGAAACCUGCCCAGAAGCGGGGGAUAACACCUGGAAACAGAUGCUAAUACCGCAUAACAACUUGGACCGCAGGGUCCGAGUUUGAAAGAUGGCUUCGGCUAUCACUUUUGGAUGGUCCCGCGGCGUAUUAGCUAGAUGGUGGGGUAACGGCUCACCAUGGCAAUGAUACGUAGCCGACCUGAGAGGGUAAUCGGCCACAUUGGGACUGAGACACGGCCCAAACUCCUACGGGAGGCAGCAGUAGGGAAUCUUCCACAAUGGACGAAAGUCUGAUGGAGCAACGCCGCGUGAGUGAAGAAGGGUUUCGGCUCGUAAAACUCUGUUGUUAAAGAAGAACAUAUCUGAGAGUAACUGUUCAGGUAUUGACGGUAUUUAACCAGAAAGCCACGGCUAACUACGUGCCAGCAGCCGCGGUAAUACGUAGGUGGCAAGCGUUGUCCGGAUUUAUUGGGCGUAAAGCGAGCGCAGGCGGUUUUUUAAGUCUGAUGUGAAAGCCUUCGGCUCAACCGAAGAAGUGCAUCGGAAACUGGGAAACUUGAGUGCAGAAGAGGACAGUGGAACUCCAUGUGUAGCGGUGAAAUGCGUAGAUAUAUGGAAGAACACCAGUGGCGAAGGCGGCUGUCUGGUCUGUAACUGACGCUGAGGCUCGAAAGUAUGGGUAGCAAACAGGAUUAGAUACCCUGGUAGUCCAUACCGUAAACGAUGAAUGCUAAGUGUUGGAGGGUUUCCGCCCUUCAGUGCUGCAGCUAACGCAUUAAGCAUUCCGCCUGGGGAGUACGGCCGCAAGGCUGAAACUCAAAGGAAUUGACGGGGGCCCGCACCAGCGGUGGAGCAUGUGGUUUAAUUCGAAGCUACGCGAAGAACCUUACCAGGUCUUGACAUACUAUGCAAAUCUAAGAGAUUAGACGUUCCCUUCGGGGACAUGGAUACAGGUGGUGCAUGGUUGUCGUCAGCUCGUGUCGUGAGAUGUUGGGUUAAGUCCCGCAACGAGCGCAACCCUUAUUAUCAGUUGCCAGCAUUAAGUUGGGCACUCUGGUGAGACUGCCGGUGACAAACCGGAGGAAGGUGGGGAUGACGUCAAAUCAUCAUGCCCCUUAUGACCUGGGCUACACACGUGCUACAAUGGAUGGUACAACGAGUUGCGAACUCGCGAGAGUAAGCUAAUCUCUUAAAGCCAUUCUCAGUUCGGAUUGUAGGCUGCAACUCGCCUACAUGAAGUCGGAAUCGCUAGUAAUCGCGGAUCAGCAUGCCGCGGUGAAUACGUUCCCGGGCCUUGUACACACCGCCCGUCACACCAUGAGAGUUUGUAACACCCAAAGUCGGGG
rnacentral:rRNA from 1 species